rnacentral:tRNA from 1 species
AUGAUGGAUGGGGAACACCAGGAAGAGAAGCCUUCACAUGAGAAAGAAAAUGCUCUACACAAUGAAGAGAAGACUUCAUGUGAUGUGGAGAAGACUUUAUGUGACAUGGAGAGAGCUUUGUGUGACAUAAAGAAGAGUGCUGAAGAGAGCAUUUCAAGUAAUGAGGAGAACAGUUCAGAUGAUGAGGUUGGACAAAGACUGGAUUCAAAAGUCCCAAGUGGCUCAGAGCCUCUUCCAUCUAAUGCAGAACACCCCUGCGAUAAUGAAUCUGAGCUGUUGCCACAAAAAACCUCCCAAGCUAAAAAACCUCAACGCAAAAAAUUCGCGCCACGGAAAGGUACAAGGUCAAGCUUACGUUCUAGCACAAAAAUGACAGUCAGCGCAUGUAGUAUGACAGAUGAUGGUAAAAGAAAAUGGGACAAAAAACACUUCUGCCUGUAUUGCAAUGAACCACACCACAAAAUUGCAAGACAUUUAGAAAGGAUACACGCCGAAGAAGCAGCUGUCGCUCAUGCUAUGAGCUUCCCUAAACUCUCCAAAAUCAGGUCUCUUUUGCUUGACCAACUCCGUAACAAAGGCAACUAUCAAGUUCUUCAAAGUGGAGAUGGUGAAAUUGUGACUAAGGAUAGACCCUCUUACAAUGGUGUUUCUGUGCGUGACUGCCUGCCCUGCCAACACUGCUUAGCUUUUUUCAACAAAAUAGAUUUAUGGAAGCAUGAGGGCUCAUGUAAAGCCAGAAAAGGACAAGAUGAAAAGAGGGGAGGAAAAAGAGUGCGGGUCCAAGCUGCAUCCUCUCGACUUCUUCCACUGCCUGUCUACUCUACUGGAGGGUGUGAAGAAAUAAUACACAAUAUGAAUCAAGAUGACAUCUUAUGCCACAUCAAAAAUGAUCCCCUGAUAUGUAAAUAUGGCAAUGCACUAUCUGCAAAGCAUGGCCAUGCCAAGUCACAGUUUACAUACAUUGGAUCAAAAAUGAGGGAAUUGGCUAGAUUUGUACUUACUGUAAAUGAGAUGGACUGUGGUGUCCAAUAUCUGCAUGAAGUAUGUGUACCAUCCAAAUUCAAAUUGGCCGUUCAUGCUGCCAGGAAAAUGAGUGGUUUUGAUCCUGCCUCCGACAGGUACAAGACCCAAUCUCUUCCUUUAAAGAUCGGCUAUUCCUUGAAAAGAGCUACUGAAAUAGCUUUUGGGGAGAGUCGUAUGACAGAGGACCGUGAUGCAGAGGCACAAGCCAGAAGGUUCAUUGAGCUUCUUGAAAACGAUUGGAAUAACUGUUUUUCCGGUUUGUCCCUCAGCGCUGUGCCUCAGUGUGAUGAAGUUGAUGUGUCUUCACUAACUGAGGAUUUGAUUAAACUUCAGAAGUUUCUCAAGGUUGCAGAGGACACAGCAAAGAGAGAAUUGCUCGAGAGCCCCACCAACGCUGUCUGGAAAAAGCUCAAUGAAACUCUUCUUGCCGAAAUAGCUCUCUUCAACAGAAAAAGGACAGGAGAGGUUGCGAAAAUGCUGUUGGAAACAUACACAAACAGAAAGAAAUCUCCAGCUAGCGCAGACAUUUUCAAUAGCCUCUCAAGGCUGGAACAGGAGCUUGGUGACGACAAAUUAACCAGGGUGGAAAUAGAAGGUAAAAAUGGUAGAACAAUGCCGGUCCUACUAACGGCGAGGAUGAUCUCAUCUCUUGAGAUCCUAAUUGCAAACCGAGACAAAGUUGGUGUGUCAAAGGACAACCCUUAUGUCUUUGCACGGAGCCCAGAUGCAGCAAGCUACGUCAGAGGGUCUGACUGUUUGAGGAAAUUUGCUCAUGAGUGUGAUGCAAAGAAUCCUGAAAGUCUGAUCCAUGCUACAGUGAGGAAAGAGGUUGCUAUCCAUUGCCAAAUUCUGAACUUAAAUGAAAGUGAAUUGGAUCAGGUGGCAAAAUUAUUGGGACAUGACACCCAGGUCCACAAAGAGUACUACAGACUGUCUGAAAACGCAGCACAUCUAGCAGAAAUCAGCAAAUUGCUGCUUGCAAUGGAUCAGGUUCCAGUGGUAAUUCCAGGACCAUCUGAGGAAAGGAUUGUUUCACCUACAUAUGGGGCAUAUUCUGCAGGGACAUAUUCAGCGGGAACCGAUUCUGCGAGGGCGUAUCCUGCUGGCACAUAUACCACUGGGUCAUCUUAUCCUACAGCGACAUAUUCCGCAAAGUCAUAUACAUUGGGGGCACAGCCUUCAAGGUCAUAUCAUGCUGGGACAUAUCCUGAGAAGUCAUAUCCUUCUGGAUCACAUUCUGCAAGGUCAUAUCAUGCUGGGACAGAUUGUGCAAGGGUGUAUCCUACUGGGAUAAAUCCUGCUAGAUCAUAUUCUGUGACACAUCCUGCAGAGACCUAUCCAGCAGCUUCGUAUGCUGCUGGGACACAUCUUGCAAGUUCAUAUCCUGCAAGUCCUUAUGACCUAUCAUCUCCUGCAAGAUCAUAUACUUCGGGGACAAAUCCUGCAAAAUCAUAUCCUGAAGAGACAUAUCCUAUGGGGACAUAUCGUGCAGGGACACAUCUUGCGGGUUCACAACUUGCAAGGUCAUAUUCUGCCGGAACAUAUCCUGCACAGACACUUCCAGCGCGUACUGUUAUUACGCCAACACUUAAUGCACAGACACUUCCUGUUGGGGCAGUGCCUGCGGUUGCCGUUCCUUUGGGUGCAGUUCCUUUGGGGACAGGUUCUGUGGGGACAGAUAAGGUGGGCACAGUGUGGAAACAGAGGAUGUGGAGUGAUGCAGCUAAGGCUGCGGUGAACCGUCAGAUGGGACACUUUAUCUCAAUGAUGGAGGUUCCAGGUAAACAGGACUGUGAAGUUUGCCUGCACAAUGAACCAGCACUAAGAGACAGGACAUGGAGGGACAUCAAAAACUAUGUGCACAACACAGUAAAAUCUAUAAAACGAAAGAAUGGCCUUACAAGAGUGGACCCCACAAAACAGACAAAGAAAGGAGCAGCAAAGAAACAAAAAGAGGCGAAGCGUGCUAAAGAAUGGGUUGGUGGAACAAUGGCAGUACCUGCAGUGGGUCAAGAAGGCAGACUUGAGGCAGGUCCUGUGGCAACACCAAGGAAACAGAAGAUAUGGAGUAAUGAGGCUCAGGCUGCGGUCAGGCGGCAGCUAGGAGACUUCACUAAACUGAUGAAGAUUCCAGGUAAAAAGGAAUGUGAUGCAUGUCUUGCAGCUGAACCAGCUCUGCAAGGCAGGACAUGGAAAGAUGUAAAAAACUAUGUGCGUAAUACAUUAAUGACAAUGUGCAGGAGGCAUAUUUCAGGCAAACAAAACAUGGACCAUGAAAAACCAAGUCCAAGGACACCGAAACCAGGGGUCCAACAAAAUCCAGGGGUGCAUCAGAAACCAGGGACGCUGUUGGGACUUCCAGAAGAUCCUCCUGUUUAUCUGUAUUUAUGAUUACCUUGAACUAGUUUUAAAAGCUUUUGAUUUAAUCUGACAUCCUUGCUCAUUCUGAUCUCACUUUGUAACAUAAAGCAAGAAUCUAGAACCAUUUUAAGGACAUAAUAUCACUACGUACUUUAUUCUACAAAUGUAUCCGUAGUAACUAGACUACAUAGUGAUGUAGUAUGAAUAUAAACUUGUUUAGCUGAAUUUUACGUACAUUUUCUCAGCUUCUUUUUAAAAAUUUUGGCACGAUGUAUUCUGACGCCCAAAUUCAAAAUCCUUUGGCAUGAGCUACACCAACGACGUAUGUAAACCCUGGAUUGCUGAUGCUAUGUAUUGUCCUUUAAGAGGCUUUGAAGACACUGGUUGGCCUUGUUGGCACUCCCCACUAGGAGUAGUCCUCCAUAGGAAUGACUGGAAUUCUACAGUAUUUUAAUUAAAUGUUUCAAGGACAGAAUUACAUGUGUUUUGUUGUAGUGAGGACAGUAACAUUAGUACUCGAAAAUACUUUAAGAAAAUUGUCUUUUUGCCUGUACCAUUGUAUGUGUAGUUAAUGUAUAUGUGUAGGUUAGGUUUUGAAUAAAAACAACUGUUCAGCAAACCCGAGGAUUUACUGGGUUAGGCUAUUCCUGGUAGAAGUGCGGUGUGAAUGGGUUAAAGUACUACAUUUGUGCCCAGGUUAGAGAGUAUGGUUUGAUGUUUGAGCUGCUUGAAAUCCACCAAUCACGUAAAGAAAAAUGUUUCUUUGGCUGUUCUAGAAUUAUACUGAGCGAAAAUUAUAAGCGCCGCUUGUUACGUGUUGGUCCCAUGAGCUAAAAUAGAUGCCAGAAAUUUUCCAUAAGCACACAAACCUUAUUUCUCUCAAAUGUUGGGGACAAACUACUUCACAGCCCUAUUAGUAAGCAUUUCUCCUUUACAUUAUGACUUACAGUAAGGAGGGUAUACAUUUUAAUAUUUGUUCAUACUGGUCCCACGUGGGAAUCAAACCCACAACCCUGGCGUUGCAAGUGCCAUGCUCUACCAACUGAGAUACACAGGACCUCCUUUACCAAGAUAACCCAUCCACCUGACAGGUGUGUCUCCCACACUGAUAAGAACCUUGGUGUGACCCUGGACAACACCCUGUCGUUCUCUACAAAUAUCAAAGCAGUGACCUGCUCCUGCAGGUUCAUGCUCUACAACAUCUGUACAUUACGACCCUAUUUAACACAGGAAGUGGCGCAGGUCCUAAUCCAGGCCCUUGUACUCUCCCGUCUGGACUACUGCAACUCGCUGUUGGCUGGGCUCCCCACUUAACCCAUUAAGCCCCUGCAACUUAUCCAGAAUGCUGCAGCCCGCCUGGUUUUCAAACUUUAAGUUUUCUCAUGUCACCCCACUCCUCCGCACAUUCCGCUGGCUUCCAUUCAAAGCUCUCAUCCACUACAGGACCCAUGGUGCUUACCUACGGAACAGCAAGAAAAACUGCCCCUCUCUACCAUCAGGCUAUGCUCAAACCCUACACCCCAAGCCGAGCACUGCAUUCUGCCACCUUAGGUGCCACCCCAGUUUACAAUUGGCUCAUUCAUCCCCCUCUCUCCUGUAACUAUUCCCCAGGUCGUUGCUGUAAAUGAGAACAUGUUCUCAGUCAACUUACCUGGUAAAAUAAUGGAAAAAGAAAAGAAAGGUCUCUUGGGUCUCCCAGCUCAGGCCAAUCCAAGUUCUUCUCUGUCCUAGCACCCCUCUGUCCUGGCAAGCCCACCCAUGGCUGUGCCCCUGCCCAGUCAUGUGAUAUCCGUAGAUUUAUAUGCUUAUGAAUUGUAACCCAGUAAAAUUAUUCCAAUUUUUGCAUGUUGCAUUUAUAUUUUUGUUCAAUAUAGAAUCUUCACAUGACUACACAAAGACCAGCUCCAUUAAAUGUUUUAUUUUAAUGUAUUAUACAUGCAUGCAUACAUACAUACAUGCAAGUAACUGAAAUGUGUUUUGCCAAUUGGAAACCGUUCCUUCAUUCUGUGUGUGUGUGUAAUUGGUUUCAGAGAAUCACAGAGCCUAUUCCUCUUGUACUUUGGUCUUUAGCUGUCCAUGUACACUACUGUUCAAAAGUUUGGAGUCACUUAGAAAUGUUUUUGUCCAUUAAAAUAACAUCAAAUUGAUCAGAAAUACAGUGUAGACAUUGUUAAUGUUGUAAAUAACUAUUGUACCUGUAAAUAACUAUUGUACCUGGAAACAGCUGAUUUUUCUUUAAAUGGAAUAUCUACAUAGGCAUACAGAGGAUCCUCCCACUCUUUCUAUUCUUGUUAGAGCCAGUUUGCGCUGUUCUGUGAAGUGAGUAGUACACAGCAUUGUAUGAGCUCUUCAGUUUCUUGGCAAUUUAUUGCAUGGAAUAGCCUUAAUUUCUCAGAACAAGAAUAGACUGACGAGUUUUAGAAGAAAGUCCUUUGUUUCUGGCCAUUUUGAGCCUGUAAUCGAACCCACAAAUGCUGAUGCUCCAGAUACUCAACUUGUCUAAAUAAGGCCAGUUUUAUUGCUGCUUUAAUCAGAACAAGUUUUCAGCUGUGCUAACGUAAUUGCAAAAGUGUUUUCUAAUGAUCAAUUAACCUUUUUAAAAUGAGUUUUUAGUUUUUUUCAAAUUAUAAACUUUGAUUAGCUAACACAAUGUGCCAUUGGAAAACAGGAGUGAUGGUUUCUGAUAAUGGGCCUAUGAAGAUAUUCCAUAACAAAUCAGCCGUUUCCAGCUACAAUAGUAAUUUACAACAUUAACAAUUUCUACACUGUAUUUCUGAUAAAUGUUGUUAUUUUAAUGGACAAUAAAUGGUAGUGUAGGUCUACUUGUUUUAUUAAUGUUGCUAUUAUUCAGUACUGUCUUAACCAUAUUGAUUUCACAGCAGCAGUUUAAGUUUUUCAACACUAAUUUAGGCUGACUAACCUGUAUAGGGUGUGAUAGCUGUUGCUUCUCUAUAUUAUUUAAUCCACUUGACUACUAAUAUUAUAUAUUUCAUCCACUUGCCUCCUAGAUAAUGUUAUUAUUGCAAGUCAAUCUUUGUUGAUUCUAAUUGCAUUAAGGUUCAAGGAGGAAUUAUGUAAAUGAGUUUGUUUAAAUUGAUCAGUUUGUGUAAUAACUGCAACAGAUCUGCUACGGUGUUAGGUGUUAACUGAGGAAAAAUAAUCAAGGGUUUCACCACACCCCACUAUUUACUGUCUAAAGAUGUUUCAAUUGUUUUUUUUCACCAACAUGUAUUUGUUAUCAAGCUGCCUUUCGUUACCCCCUGGUGUUCAUUGUGUGUAAUCUAAGAUACUAUAUUUGCUUCGUUAAUAAAUUGUUACUUGAUGUAAAUGUUAAAAUGUUAUUCCAGUUCUCAGAAUAUUCAUAUAGCCUUUUUGAGGUCCACCAUUAGUGUUCCAACAGGGAUUUAGAAUUGUACCAAUAACAGUUCAAGGAAACAGCUUUGAGAUUUCAUGACGCUGUAAUGCUAGGAAUCUAUCAUCACCAUUGCUUUAUGCUUUCAUGAACUUAACAUUUUUGGAUGAAAAGACAACGCCCUAGGUAAGUAUACAAUCAGCUAAACCUUCAAAUAAGUGAACUGCCCCUCUAAUUCUUUAAGCAAUUAGCCCCUCCACAUUUAUUAUCAUAUAUAACUUGUUUGCUACAAGUGGCUUUGGAAAGCUGUGGUCCUCGGUAAUGAAGGUGUGUGGGUGUCUGUGUCUGUUGCCUCCCACAGGACUCCAGUGGUAUGUCCCUGAGUAUGUUGGCAGCAGCAGGGGGACAGGAUGACAUCCUGAGGCUGCUGAUAAAGAAGGGGAACGGACGGCAGAAGAACGGCACCACUGCCCUAAUGCACGCUGCAGAGAAGGUAACACAGGACAGACUGGUUUAAACCACCUUAUUACAAGUACACACGUAUACAUUCCCAUAGUUUGUAUGUUAAAUGUCGGUUCUGCAAUGUUUACUUACUAACUUAACCCGCUAU